rnacentral:RNase_P_RNA from 1 species
GAAGUCAGCCAGAUCGUCGCUGGUACAAGUCUCGAAAGGGCGUACUGGAGGAAGGUCCGGACUGCACAGGGCAGCGUAGGAGGUAACACCUCUCCACCGUAAGGUGAGGAUCAGAGCAACAGAGACGAGCCAAUUCAGUUUGGGUGAAACGGGCAAUCUCUACGCGCAGCAACACCAAAUAGGCACACGAUGACCUGGCCCGGGGAGUGUGCGGGUAGGUGGCACCGAGCCGUUCUGGUGACAGGCGGCCCAGAGGAAUGACGGUCACAGUUCAGCGUCGCGAGACACGGGACUGCACAGAAUCCGGCCUAUCGGCUGACUUCACAC